rnacentral:lncRNA from 1 species
CACAACCUACAGUAAGCACCCCUGGAGUCACACCACCAAGCCAACACUGUGGUAAGUAUAGGACUGUCAGAGAAAGUACAUGACACAACACAGAGAGGCUAGUUAGGUCACACACAAGACAACACAGAGGCUAGUUUAGGUCACUAACAAGACAACACAGAGGCUAGUUUAGGUCACUAACAAGACAACACAGAGGCUAGUUUAGGUCACACACAGGACAACACAGAGGCUAGUUUAGGUCACUAACAAGACAACACAGAGGCUAGUUUAGGUCACUAACAAGACAACACAGAGGCUAGUUUAGGUCACUAACAAGACAACACAGAGGCUAGUUUAGGUCACUAACAAGACAACACAGAGGCUAGUUUAGGUCACUAACAGGACAACACAGAGGCUAGUUUAGGUCACUAACAAGAAAACACAGAGGCUAGUUUAGGUCACUAACAAGACAACACAGAGGCUAGUUUAGGUCACUAACAAGACAACACAGAGGCUAGUUUAGGUCACUAACAAGACAACACAGAGGCUAGUUUAGGUCACACACAAGACAACACAGAGGCUAGUUUAGGUCACUAACAAGACAACACAGAGGCUAGUUUACGUCACUAACAAGACAACACAGAGGCUAGUUUGGGUCACUAACAAGACAACACAGAGGCUAGUUUAGGUCACUAACAAGACAACACAGAGGCUAGUUUAGGUCACUAACAAGACAACACAGAGGCUAGUUUAGGUCACUAACAAGACAACACAGAGGCUAGUUUAGGUCACUAACAAGACAACACAGAGGCUAGUUUAGGUCACUAACAAGACAACACAGAGGCUAGAUUAGGUCACUAACAAGACAACACAGAGGCUAGUUUAGGUCACUAACAGGACAACACAGAGGCUAGUUUAGGUCACUAACAAGACAACACAGAGGCUAGUUUAGGUCACUAACAAGACAACACAGAGGCUAGUUUAGGUCACUAACAAGACAACACAGAGGCUAGUUUAGGUCACACACAGGACAACACAGAGGCUAGUUUAGGUCACUAACAAGACAACACAGAGGCUAAUUUAGGUCACUAACAAGACAACACAGAGGCUAGUUAGGUCACUAACAAGACAACACAGAGGCUAGUUUAGGUCACUAACAAGACAACAUAGAGGCUAGUUUAGCUCACAAAAGACAACAUUUGCUCUAUAUUGAAGAACAGACAAUGUAAGUGAACUGUGCAUGGAGGCCAUUUUUCAUUAUGUGAUCCAUUUGUUUUUUUCUGUCGUGGAAGGUUGAGUUUAAUUGGAUUCAAUUGAAUGCAAGAGCUGCCUCCUGUCUGGUCUCUUUUGCUUCCACUAGUAUCAUUCAGAUCAGUCUAUUUUAACAGCAUGUGUCUAAUACCUACAGUACAGUAUCAGUGAACUCCAUGUCCAGGCACCAGGGAGUUAAGGGAAAAGGGGAUACCUAGUAAGUUGUACAACUGAAUAGAUUCAACUGAAAUGUGUCUUCCUCAUUUAACCCAACCCCUCUUAUUCUAGGCACUACAGCCCUGUGUUAUUACAUAUCACUACUCUGGGUCAGUAAGUUGUACUAUGUACUGCACAGUGCACUUAUUGUAGACUACCUUUCCUUGAAGGCCAAAAUACUGUCCCAGAGCUCUCUCUCUCUAUAGGUGCCUCUUAAAGUCCUUAACUAAACCUUCAGAUGCAAUAUCAUACUGUAUCAUACUCCACACGAUAACACACCUCUAUACUGCAUUCCCUCUUUCCUGCAGCCAUUUGACUGGAUUCUACUGGCUAAAACUAGUACAAGUGUUCGUUUUCAGUCGUUACCAGACUGUCAUUGUUCUGCAGCCUUUGUUCUGUGUCCUCUGGUUCUGUGGUUCUGAUCGAUGAUACCCAGAAUGUGUCCGCCUGUCUGGAAUAGAGAAUUCACUAAUGCCUGCCAUCCUGCACAGUGGUAACAUUAAUCUAGUCUCUCCUCUCCCUCCUUUACUUUCAUACAGGGUAACAAUAUCAUAUAACAUCCCAAUAACUAAUCAUUCUAGCUAUGUAACUGGGUGUCAUGCACCCACAUUCAUUCUGUGUAACAUGAUCCAUGUCUAUGGCUCUCUCGUCUGUGUUCUUGUCUCUCAUAUCACUCCGGAACAUGUACUCUUUGUGUUCCAUUUUCCUGAGGUUUGCAGUCACAGUCAGAGAAAUAUAUCAGUUGCUUGCGAACAGCCAACCCCUCACCACCCUCCCAGAAGCCCCCCUCCUCUCCUGCUGCAUCCCCCCUUCAUGCUAACUCAACCAACCAACCUCC